GUAAAUUAAUUUUAUUUUUAAAUAUAGUAUUUGUUUGAAAAAUAAUGUCCAAAUAGACAAUUUUUACUCUUGCACCCCAGAUUUCCCUACAUGCACCCCUCAGUUCUAAACUAGGCCAAUACUAAAGCCCAACAGAAACCCUAAUUCUCUUGCCAAACCCUAGCUGCCGCCUCCUCCAUGGCAGCCACAUCGCGCACCACCAGCGAGCCGUCGCACAGCGCCUCCAUCAUCUGCGACCAUGUUUCUCACCACCAUGUCGCCGUUCAACACCCAUAGCCGUCAGCCACCCUAAAGCCACCACCGUCAACCUUCAAGCCGCUGCCAGCCACCGUCGCCGGCGUGCUCGCCGACCAUCACGAAGCUUCACGCCACCACCCAAUCUUCCAUGAGCAAGCACCAGUCCAAAUUGUCGUCGCGAGUCUUCUUCCUCGCAGACCACCAUCCACCAUCGCGCAACCAUCAUCAUCACUUCAGCAGACCACCGCCACCGUCGCCAACACCAGUCACACACCACUCCGAACACCACUCACAGACCAACCUCCAUCAUCAUCAGCGCCCACACCAGUCAACACCAGUCACGUACCACCGAACCGGAAACGACGCCGACAACACAACCCGCACACACCAUCCCUGGAAGUCCUUCCACCACCGAACCGGAAACUACGGCAAUCGGAGNCCUUCCAGCACCUCGAACCAGAUAGCCG
rnacentral:lncRNA from 1 species